UAACAGGCCGUCUCCAAGUUGCGCGCCAAGGGCCGUGGUGGAUCCGCAUCCCGACUCUCCCCACCCCCCCAGAUGAAGCCCCGCUCAAAGCGAGACUUUGAAUAAGGUCCAUCCACUCCAGCCACUUCCUCCACCCGCGCAACUGGCAACAAGGUGUUCAAGAAAACAGCAACGUGUGUGUCGGAUAUAGUAAAUAAUAAUCACUGCUGGUUAUUCAAUUAAUUUUCAAAUGGACAUUUCAACCCCUCCUAAACAAAAAAGUUCCUUCUUCUUCUUCUGAAUUUGUUUCCCUUUCCUUCUCUUUUUCGCUGUCAUAUCAAGUCUCUUCCUACCUUCACCCCUAUUCCUCCUCAGUGUGUGCGAGUGUGUUUUCUAGUCCGAUUCUUGGUUUCAUCCUCAACUUCAAUGGACAACUCGAUUUCACUUUUAUCUCCUUCUCGUUCACGAAACUCGAUCCAGGCGGAUUUUUUUUUUCUGUGUUCCAAUCUCACAUCUGAAAGUUUAAACCCUACAUUUUCUUUUGUGUUCUAUAAGCGGCGGGGCACUUUUCACUAACGAGUUUUCUUUUUUCAAAGACGAGAGCGAGAGAGACAAAGUGAAAAAGAAUGGCUGUUGACGUGAGUGUUGAACCAUUGAAUCGAAAAAGCAUCCGUAUAAUAAUUGAAAAAAAAAAAAAAACCAAAACCAAAAAAUGUCAUAGCUAUAUCAAAGAGUUUGGCGCACGCACUUAAAUAUGAGAGAGUAUUGAGACACAAUGAAACCAAACAAAAAAAUUGAUCAUCGCGCGCAAUCAAAGAGUCGGUUAAUCAAGUUCCUCUUUCCCUUUUCCCUUCUUUCUUUGGUCUGUUGCAGGCCUCGUUUUGUUUUAUUAUAUCAAUCGUCGACCCAGAUAUUGACGAUGUUUAGGCAAUCAAGAAACAAAAAAGAAAAGAUCCUCUUUCUCGCUUCUUGAGUCAUUCUCUACACACUUACUGUAUCCCUUCUGAUUGUUGCUUGACCUUUUGUUGUAUUACACAGCUUUCAGCCCUUUCAA